UCUUGCGGAUGAGUGAAGAAAGUGGUUUCUUGAGAUGGAAUCUACUCCUGGUGAAGUUAUUGUGAA
rnacentral:pre_miRNA from 1 species